UACGUAGGGGGCUAGCGUUGUCCGGAAUCAUUGGGCGUAAAGAGCGUGUAGGCGGUCCGGUAAGUCCGCUGUGAAAGUCGGGGGCUCAACCCUCGGAAGCCGGUGGAUACUGUCGGGCUCGAGUACGGAAGAGGCGAGUGGAAUUCCUGGUGUAGCGGUGAAAUGCGCAGAUAUCAGGAGGAACACCUAUUGCGAAGGCAGCUCGCUACACUAUCAUUGACACUGAGGCACGAAAGCGUGGGGAUCAAACAGG
rnacentral:rRNA from 1 species